rnacentral:misc_RNA from 1 species
UCACUCACUACCACCAUGAUUCCGCAUAUAGAAUAGAGGUUACGGGGAGAAGUAAGAUACCGAGAAAAAAAGGUCGCUUUGGGGCUUUCGGGGUCGAGACGAACGUUAAUAGAAUCGGUCACGGACAGACGCGGAUACUGUCUCUCAUUGAGUCUUUCCUAGAUAGACAAAGCGAAUCUUGGCUAGUCAAUAAGGAAGAUGUAUAAGGAACAAUGCAAAAUCUCGAGAAACCCGAGAAGAUGAAAGGAAACCGGGGAUCAGAGAGAGGUGGGACGGGUGCGCACGAGAGGGACGCACAUGGGAAUGGUUAUUCGGCAUAACGCGGUGGGGAUAAAAUCAGACCGAAAUAUCAUUCCGGAGCGGAAAACGAUGACACCGUCGCCACCGGGAUGCCAUUCCCAUUCGAGUCCGCGCAAACGAGCUCUCCACCUCGCUGAGAAAUUAGGCGGGCAAAAUAUGACGGAAAGCACUGCUAAGUACGUAGUGAUACCUCUCCACCAUCGGCCUGAUUUGAUCAGAGAUUGUUGUAAGUUACUUAAUUCUGAAUGGCCUCGAAGCGAAACUGCACGCUCUUGUAUUGUUAAAUUG